GAUGAAGAACGUAGCGAAAUGCGAUAAGUAAUGUGAAUUGCAGAAUUCAGUGAAUCAUCGAAUCUUUGAACGCACAUUGCGCCCGCCAGUAUUCUGGCGGGCAUGCCUGUCUGAGCGUCAUUUCAACCCUCAUGCCCCUAGGGCGUGGUGUUGGGGAUCGGCCAAAGCCCGCGAGGGACGGCCGGCCCCUAAAUCUAGUGGCGGACCCGUCGUGGCCUCCUCUGCGAAGUAGUGAUAUUCCGCAUCGGAGAGCGAUGAGCCCCUGCCGUUAAACCCCCAACUUUCCAAGGUUGACCUCAGAUCAGGUAGGAAUACCCUCUGAACUUAAGCAUAUCAAUAAGCGGAGGA
rnacentral:misc_RNA from 1 species